rnacentral:lncRNA from 1 species
AUGGGGUCGCAUGGAGGUGACACAGCCUGGCGCGGCACAGGCCAGCAUCUCUCACUUCUUCCACUCCUUCUUGUCAUAGUUCCACUUGGAGGCGAGGCCAUCGACGGGGUUCACCUUCAGGUCCAGCAUCUUCUUGGUCUGCAUGGCCACUUACUCUUUGUCAAAGGUGUGCAGGAGGGGGCCGUACACAUAGCGCUUCUCCAAGAUGAUAAGAAUUGCCGUGAAGCCGAUGAAGAACAUGGCAGCACCCACAACCGUCUUCCACUCAUUGGAGCCCCUGUUCAUCUAAGCAAAGCUCUCCUUGAACUGAAUACGAUACAACUCGACUUUCUCAUCCACAGAGAGGCUGCUCCAGGAGGCCUUCUCCUUCUCCUUCAAGGCCUUCUGGCUGGCCGACAGGUGA